rnacentral:rRNA from 1 species
UGGGGAAUAUUGGACAAUGGGCGGAAGCCUGAUCCAGCCAUGCCGCGUGUGUGAAGAAGGCCUUUUGGUUGUAAAGCACUUUAUGCGAGGAGGAGGCUACUUGGAUUAAUACUCUAGGAUAGUGGACGUUACUCGCAGAAUAAGCACCGGCUAACUCUGUGCCAGCAGCCGCGGUAAUACAGAGGGUGCGAGCGUUAAUCGGAUUUACUGGGCGUAAAGCGUGCGUAGGCGGCUUCUUAAGUCGGAUGUGAAAUCCCUGAGCUUAACUUAGGAAUUGCAGUCGAUACUGGGAAGCUAGAGUAUGGGAGAGGAUGGUAGAAUUCCAGGUGUAGCGGUGAAAUGCGUAGAGAUCUGGAGGAAUACCGAUGGCGAAGGCAGCCAUCUGGCCUAAUACUGACGCUGAGGUACGAAAGCAUGGGGAGCAAACAGG